rnacentral:lncRNA from 13 species
UGCCCUUGACUAAGUAAAGCCGUGGAAGAAGUGAUUUUUAGCUGCUCCCAAUGAGCCCUAACACACGCCUCUGAAUAAUCACAUUAUCGUGUCCCUUGUGGCAUAGGUGCCUGCUACCUUGACGAUGGAAAUAAUAAAGAAGUAAAGUUAGAUCAUAAAAGUAAGGAAAUGGUUAAACUGAGGAGAGGGAGGCUGAAUUUAUGGAGCACAGGGGAGUUUUAGGGCAGUGGAAGUAUUUUGUGUGAUGUGGUGUAUACAUGUCAUUUUACAUUUGUCGAAAUUCAUAGAACUAUAGCAUCCAACCAGAGCCAUAAUGUACAUAUGAACUCUGAGUAAUAACGACGUGACCAAGAUUGGUUCCCCAGCUGCAACAAUUAUACCCCUCUGCUGGGGAAACGGAGGAGGCUGUGCAUAUUUGGUAGGGAGGGAGAGAACAGUUAAUUAUGGGGCAAACUCUGUAUUUUCUGUUCAACUUUGCUAUGGACAUAAAACUGCUCUGAAAAUGUAGUCUAUAAAGCAUGCGAGCAAACUGACAGCCUCCAGGAGCACCGUAGUUAUUUCUGAUAUAGCUCUGCUGCCAUCGUUUGCAGUCUGAGAAUGUCAAUACUGUCCCAGGAGUUCUCAGACAAGCCACGCACUGAGUUAAUUUUCUUCUAACUACUGACUUCUUUCUCAUAGCAAGAAAUCAACAAUAAUUUUUAUGAUCUUUUCUGAUAUCUUUUUUAAAUAUAAUGAUUAUACAAUGAUUUCUUUUCCUUUGGGAAGAUACCCAGUAGUGGGAUUGCUGGAUCAAAUUGUAAUUCUGUUUUUAGUUUUUUGGAGAAAUCUCCGUUCUGUUUUUCACGGUGGUUGUACUAGUUUACAUUCCCACCAGCAGUGGAUAAGCGUUUCCUUUUCUCCACAUCGUCGCCAACAUCUGUUAUUUAUGAUAGCCAUUCUUACUGGGUUAAGACUCGAGGUGAAAUUGAAGCCCCAGCCAACCACUUGUCUGCAAACCUGUGAGGAACCAUUAUACAAAGGCAAAGCUGCCUUUGGAUUCCGGAGUCUCAGAAACUGUGGAAACCCUAUCCUAGAAUUAAUUAUGAUGAUGAUACUUAUACCUGUGAAUUUACUAAAAACAUUGCAUUGGGCACUUCAAAUGGCCGAAUUGUAUGUUGUACUUCAGCUUCUGGAGAACAUGGACAGAUCAUGCAGGGUCAGUUUCAUUGAAGGAGCAACCUUUAUUCUUGACAGUCUCGCUGCUCCUCCUGUACUUGACCUGCUAACUCCCACAGCUGUGCCCAUUCAUGGUUUCUGUCUUAACAUUUAUUGUUAAUACUCAACUUGUAAAUCUUAGUGCCCACGUUCUAAGAUUUUUUUUUUCUGUUCUAGUUGUCCCAACUCGACUAUAUUUUUCCUUUCUUGGUAAUGUGCCAGUCAUACAGUUACUUGAUUAAGAUACCUGACAGAUUUGCUCAAUAUCUCAGUCCUCAUGUACAGUUUGCUGAAGAGUGUGAAGGACGAAAUUGGAGUCUUCUUGUAACAUGAGUGUGGUCAGGGGAUUGAGGACCAUAGAUUCUAAUACAUACAGUAUCAAGUGUUAUGCUUACACAUUAAACUAGAAAUUUCAUGCUGAUUUACUUUUAUUGAUAUGCUUAGGCACCAUUUGAAGAGCUUAUAUUAGUGUUUUUCAUAUAUUAUAAAGUAUAAAGAAUAUAUUAUCAAAUCAUACUUGUUAUUUUCCAAAUUUUCAACUUUAGACUUUCAGCUAAAAAUAAGUUAUUAAAUUGGUUAGGAGAAAAAUAAUUCUGAUUUGGUUGUUUCAACAUUGGAAAGUUACUAAAAAUUAUUAAAUAGUUCCUUACCUGGUUGCAUAAAAUAAGAUUUUCUUGGUAGCUUAGGGAAAUAAUAAUGAAUGUAUAAUACUUUAAUUGGUUGAACCCAUACAUAUCAUUGCAUAGUUAUUUUCCCUUUGACUAAAUUUACCCUUUUUUAUUCAUUCAUUUAGUUAUUCAUUUAUUCAAUCAGUCAGUUCAUAGAGGGCUACUAAGCUUUGAAAAUGUGCAAAGCACUCUGAUACAUGUGAACAGAUCAUGGCCGCUGUGCCUGAGCUUGAG